UCAUUUGAUGCAGAGCAUUUAUACUGCAAAUUGUGAUACUGGGAUGUGUGUUUGCAUGCAUGGGUUCAGGGGGUUGGUAGAGGGGGGGGGUGGUUCUGUAUGUAUAAGAGAAUUUGUGUAUGGAUGUAGUGUGACUUAUUUAUAUAAAAAAGAAUAUUUGUUUUCUUCAAAUUAAUCAUGCCUCUUUAGUUUUGUAAAAGAUACUCUUCUGCUUGUGCAAUAAUUUUUAAGAGAAUUUUUUUAACACUUUCCACCUCACCAUUCAUUAAAAUUGUUUUCAAGAUUUCAAAUCAAAUGUUUAAAAAAAUCAAAUAUGUUGAGAAAUAAUAUUUUAGCAUAUAACCUGCUUUGUCUGUUUUGCUAAAGAUAUAAUCUGAUAUUUCAUUUAGAAUGAAAUAUACAAUAAUCUUCAAUAAAAUUUUAACUUUCAAAAGAGAAAAUUAUUAUAUUUAUUUGUUUUGUUAUUUUUCCUUAUCUUUAAAGGUUUUUUUCUUUAACAAAUUUUAAUUACUGUACAUACAAUACAAUAUGUAGAAUUGAAAGGGGUUCCUUUUUAAUGUAUGUUUUAAUUAAUUACGGAGAAAUCCAGAUAAUAAAGACAUGAACAACAGU
rnacentral:sRNA from 1 species